AGUGAAGCGGGAAGAGCUCAAGCUUAAAAUCUCCGUGCAAGUUUUGUGCGGCGAAUUGUAGUCUAUAGAGGCGUGGUCAGCGUGGGCGCUUGGGGCAAGUUCCUUGGAAGAGGACAGCAUGGAGGGUGAUACUCCCGUUCAUCCCUGAGUGGCUCGUGCGUACGACCCGUUUUCUUUGAGUCGCGUUGUUUGGGAAUGCAGCGCAAAGUAGGUGGUAAAUUCCAUCUAAAGCUAAAUAUUGGUGCGAGACCGAUAGCGAACAAGUACCGUGAGGGAAAGAUGAAAAGAACUUUGAAAAGAGAGUUAAAGAGUACCUGAAACUGCUGAAAGGGAACCGAAUCGUUUCCAGUGUCUAUAAUCUGUGGCAUAUUUCAUUGGCGAGCGUUUGCGUGCGUGUGCUGUGGCAGUGGCUUUUUUGGCUGCGCCUGGUGUGUGUGGUGUGAGUGUUUGCUGGUGCCCUGUGCUGCGGUGGGACGUCAAGGUCAGUUCGUAUGCUGCGGGAAAUGGCUGCCGAGGAGGUAGGGCUUACGCUCCGCGUUUGUCUGUUAUAUCUUGGUGGACGAGUCGUCGCGGCUUGGGACUGAGGUGCCUACAACGUGCUUUUGAGUGGGUUUGUGUCUCCGUGUGCGCCGUGUGCGGAUAGCUUGCUAUGCGUGUGUGGUUGUGUGUGGAUUGAUGCGGGCCUUAACUUGUCGCCGUUCGGGACGUUGACGAAAUGGAGCGAUCCGACCCGUCUUGAAACACGGACCAA
rnacentral:rRNA from 1 species